GUGCUCCCUUCAGCAACACAUAUACUAAAAUUGGAAUGAUACAGAGAAGAUUAGCAUGGUCCCUGUGAAAGGAUGAUGCGUAGAUUUGUGAAGCAUUCCAUAUUUUU